UGGCAAGGGACCAAGAAAAAGAAUGCAUUCAUCAGCUUGCUCGCUAGGCGAGUGCUCACUACAAGAAAAAGAGGAAUUUACGACACAUAGGUUGUGACACUUACCCAAAAACUGCCCUAAUUCCUCAUCUGCAACACUUUUCGCGGCGGUUAGAGGCAACCGUCCCCUUUUUUUCUAAAUGAAGGCAAAAUAUAGAGAAAUCCAUUUUGUGGAAGGUAAAAAUAUGAUUUCAUAUCCUACGACAGUUACAAGAACCGACCUCGCUCAAAUUUCUCGACCGUUCUCCACCAGCCGUCAUGUUCCAAUACCACUAUUUCAAUUCUCGCGGCUAUGUUUCUAUUUUAUACUCCAUUUUCAUUUUAUUUAGAAUCAUAAACCCUUUCCCUUUAUCCAAACCGAAACCAUAUUUCAUUUUUCAAAAAUUGCAAAGCGACCUUGUUCUAUCGAACCUCAGAAUCGCAAAAUCGUUCUUGUCUCACAUCUCAUGCACAAAGACACUGGGUGAAGUCAAGGAGGAUUUUUUUGGUUUGAGAGAAAGGUUUCAGGUUAUGGAUACUGAUAGAAGUGGUGUAAUGACUUUCAGUGAACUUAAAGAUGGUCUAAGAAUAUAUGUGUAAUACCUUUGGUUUGAUUUACUUUGAAAAGAAUUACAUAUUGUUGCUUGUGUCUUUACUUUAAUUUACAAUGACUUCCAUUUGUUUGUUUAUGUGUGUUGAUUUACAAUGAUGUCAAGCAUCUCAAGAUCAGAGACUCUGCGAGCAGGUCCCUUUUGUUCAAUUUGGCGUUUGUCCGUUUCAAUGGAAUUCAUUCAACCAGUCACUUGUAAUUUAUAUGUUAAAUUCAUGGUUGCUCCACCAUUUCGAGAAUGAAUCCCUGUUAAAGAAAGUUAUGGGAUAUGGACUGGGUUCACUAAAUAAGAUGGAGGAUAUUGGAAAGAGUAUUUUCCAAUGCUUCUCUAAAUUGAAAACAUAACUUGGACUCAUUCAUAUGCCUGAAAUAUGUUUUCUAUUCCAUCCAUAACUGCAACAAACAUCCAGAGGUUCCACUCAUGGAGAUCAAGUAUUUUAUUGAGAACUUCCUCUGUGAUUCUGGACUCAAUCACGUUGUCAUCCACCUAUGUGGUUUCGGGCAAAGUAACCAGCCACAUGAACACUUGCAACUUGGCCAUGUGUGGCAGCAGGUGGGCCAUUUAUGGUGGCAUCAUGUCGGCCAAUUAUGGUGGAAGAAUGCCAAACUAUAGUUACAACUGGAGCACAAUCAUCGAAAUGGAAAAAAGUGUGUAGCAUGGCUCCACUCUCACCGGAGGGACUCAUCAUCUUGACAUAUUCUUACGACAAAAAUAGAUGGUAUGUAACCCCUUUUUAAUGGGUCAGCUUGUCCAACUAGCAUACCAAUCGGCACUGGAACAUAUUAGAUCUGGAACUUUGGAAAAAUUUAAGGAUACACUCAAAAAGACUUUGAAAGGAGGAGAAUUUUUUUCUGCAUCUUCUAAUAAUUACAUUGGGUGUUCUGUGGCUUAAUUUGUUGAAGCAUGUCCAACUAAUGAAAAUAUUCUUUAUAAUUAUUAGUGAACAUCAAUUAUUUUGAAGGUUCUAAAUAUGUAUAGGUUGCUAAAGUAUAAAUACU